ensembl:lncRNA
GGCAAAUUGACAAGACUGACUUCCUUUCAGCUAGGUCUGUGUUGGGGACAAGGUCGAAAGGUCACAUUGACUAUUGACGGUGACCCUCGGGUCCCCGGGUUCAAGUUCAGGAAAGUGGAUGAGCCCAGGAGGUGCAAACAUGAAUAAUGUCAACUGAAAUAAAGAAUCGUGAUAAAAGUUACUUGAAAGAGUUCGUUCAAUAACCAAAGGUGAGGACUCGAGCCUGGGAAACAGCUCAACAGAGCGUCCUGCAGGAACUGCUCUGACGGAGGUCUACAGAUCUGAGCACAGUUUAUGUGCCUUCUUACGAGGCCGUCCAUAAGAGCAGAAAGGGGCUUACUCAUGAACAGUCCUAUACGCCAACAAUCAAACGGCGAAACCCUCCCUCCGUGGCAGGGUACAUCUGGUUUUUCUCUCGUUUAUAAAGUAAGAAUUUCUUGGUUACGUACCCUGGAAUGCUGAUGUCAUCUAUGUGGGGAGGGAGGCAAGUCCCAGGGUGGCGAGGUACCCCCCCGAACCUAAAGACGUAGCGAGAGGGUAUGAGAGCUGGGUACCCUUUCUCUCUUCUGGUUGCAGAUCUUUUCUCGCUGGCGUCUUCCGUCACGAGGUGAAGGGUUGCAAGGUCAUUCUGACACAGGCUUAAGAUGACCUCCAAGGCCGCCUCGCUGUACAGCCUAGAUUUUGCACUGACUCUAAGCCUAUGCGGCUUGCUUGCCAGUUUUGCCUGUUAGACCGGGGAGAGGGGUCCUGAUUCUUCGUUCACCAUAACACGUGUCCCAGAAAGGGGAUGGGGAAAAAAGCAUCCAAAACGCUUUUGCACACCUAAAGAUUGAAAGUAACGUGAAUGAAAUUUUCGAUGGACGAAACUGAACUUUCAAGAACGGAACAGCUUUCGCUGGCAGUCGUGAUGCUUAAUGCGUUUCAAUAUGAUUCAAUAUGAUCCACAGAUCAAGGCUGCCCCAGGGAGAGAAGCCCAAGGUGUCCUGGCCUACAUGCCGAUCUAUAGGACCCAAUGGAUUUUACGGUGUGGAUUAGGGUUGCCCCAGGGAGAGAAGCCCAGGGCAUCCUGGCCUACAUGCCCAUCUCUAUGACCAGAUUCAUAUCUAAAGUUAUAGACCACACAGUAACCAGACCCCAUCUGCACUGAAACCAUUUAAUGACUUCUUACGUCAUCUUUUCUUUGUGUGGUAGAAAUAAGUCAGGUACCCAUGCCUUAUAAAUUUAGCCCCAACUCUCAACACACUGCAGCAGCUCUUCACUGCCCAUGGGUCCUGUCCCCAUGCAGCAGCCCUUCACUGCCCAUGGGUCCUAUCCCCAUGCCAUUCCAUACUAUUCUCUGAAUAAAAGAGCACCACUGCCAGACCUUGAGAGUCCAAGAAAUCUUUCUUUCAACUCCUGGACUCACCGAGCCCGCAUCAAAUAGACACACACACACACACACACACACACACACACAGCGCUACAUCACAAAGAUAAGUGGAUUUGAAAGGAACCGGUUUCCUCUGUAACGGGAAGCCAUUACUUCCAGAAGGGCGCAGGGGUUGAGCCGACCGCCAGACAGGCGCUGGGCAGGGCUAGAGUUAGGAAGCCGCGCGCGCCGCCCCAACGGGUCGGAGUGGGAGGAAGGAGGGAGAGGCCGACGUGACUUCCCCCACCGGCCGCCGGUUCGCCGGCUGACCGGCUGGAGGUCGCGGGAGGAGGGAGGAGACGGUGGCGGCGGGGCGUGGGCUGGAGGGAAGGGCUGCUUGUCGUGACGUCACGGACAGGGCGGGUCCCAUGCAGAUAUGGCAGCGCAGGGGCUGCUGUGUCGUGAUCUGCCGCUUAAACACAAUACGCUCUCCCGUGGUGUGGGGAGCGAGUCCAGGGCUGUUGCUUGAAACCGCGUGUGCGAGCGGUGUGGAAGGGCUAGGGAGGCUCGGGGAGCAAAGUGACCGUGUGUGUACAGUGCGAGGCGUC